rnacentral:misc_RNA from 1 species
CAGAGUAUUCUUACUCCCAAACCCAUGUGAACUUACCAUUGUCGUUGCUUCGGCGGGCUCGCCCGCCGGGGGUUACAAACUCUUGCUGUAUUAGUUGGCACUCUGAGUAUGAUAUUUAAUAAUCA